AGAUCACUCUCGGGGUGUCUUUUGUAAUAAAGGCUGAGAAAACCACCCGCAGAACUUGACCCGGUUCAUACCGGCGUAAGGAAGAGUCGAAUGUCUACA
rnacentral:ncRNA from 2 species